rnacentral:snRNA from 1 species
GACGUGUGUGUCAAGCGA